rnacentral:rRNA from 1 species
GUAGGGUGCGAGCGUUAAUCGGAAUUACUGGGGCGUAAAGCGUGCGCAGGCGGUUGUGCAAGACAGAUGUGAAAUCCCCGGGGCUCAACCUGGGAAUUGCAUUUGUGACUGCACGGCUAGAGUGUGUCAGAGGGGGGUAGAAUUCCACGUGUAGCAGUGAAAUGCGUAGAGAUGUGGAGGAAUACCGAUGGCGAAGGCAGCCCCCUGGGAUAACACUGACGCUCAUGCACGAAAGCGUGGGGAGCAAACAGGAUUAGAUACCCUGGUAGUCCACGCCCUAAACGAUGUCAACUAGUUGUCGGGUCUUAAUUGACUUGGUAACGCAGCUAACGCGUGAAGUUGACCGCCUGGGGAGUACGGUCGCAAGAUUA